rnacentral:lncRNA from 1 species
AAUAAUAAUAAUUAAGGUAAGUGUAACGUACAUUUGCAUUUUGCAACAGAAACAGCUUCUUAUAGAGUAUUGUUUUACAGGCUAAUCUUUUUUUAUGUAAUGUAUUCAAAUGUAAUUAUAAUUAGGAUUGGGAUAAUACAAAAAUAUACUUUUUGCUUAGUGAUAUCUAUUACAUUGUGACAGAAUUUGGUUUCUCAAUAAUUCUCAUCCUGAGUGCCAAACUGAUCAACUGCAUCCUAAUGGAACGUUCAAGAUGUGAUUCAGUAACUGAUACGGUUGUUGCAAUAAUUAUUUUUGACCAAAUUGAAUCCACAAAAUAAUUGAAGAAAUGGUUUCAGAUGAUUACGAACAAGCGCAGCUAUCUUUGGAGAGGUAAUGCACCUACUGAUAUCCCGUGAUAAGAACUUGGGAGAGAUUUAGUGAAAACCUGGAGAACGGCCACUUAGCUCACAAAUCUGAGCUGUUCACAUCAAGCUGAUAUUUGUGACAGCCAUUAUAGCUUUAAUCAUUUUCUCGAUUGAUCAAAGCACCACAGACUGCAUCGUUCGUCACCUCUGCCUUUAAGCGCGUUAUCACCUACUCCAAUAAGCCACCCCAAUAUCCUUAAUAAGCAAUAGAAGUUCUUAUCGACUGUGUAUGACUCAUUAAUAUCCAUGUUCUGUAUAAAUUUAUGUGAUAGGCCUACUGGUAUUAAUGUUGAUGUACCGUAAUGUUUUUUGCUCAUGUAUAAUUGAUAAUAAUACAUUAAAAAUAAAUAUAAUGUUAAAUUAUUA